CAACUCUGGUUUCUCUUCAAUCACGCACAGUUUUUCGCGCCUUUUACUAAAGACUUCCGUGGAGAGCAACGCUCACGAGUUCAACGUAUUUUUGGACGGGCUUUGCUCCCGGCAGAGCC
ensembl:snRNA U5 U5 spliceosomal RNA